rnacentral:lncRNA from 1 species
CUCAUCCUCGAGACACAUCCAAAGUCCCUGCCCCCAAAGACGUCCUCGCCCACCAGGUCCCGAACGCCAAGAAGCUCAGGCGGAAGGAGCAGCUAUGGGAGAAUCUGGCCAAGCAGGGCGAGCUGCCCCGGGAGGUGCGCAGGGCCCAGGCCCGGCUCCUCAACCCUCCCACAGCCGGGGCCAAGCCCGGGCCCCAGGACACCGUGGAGCGGCCCUUCUACGAACUCUGGGCAUCAGACAACCCCCUGGACUGGCCAUUGUUUGGCCAGGAUGAGUUUUUCCUGGAGCAGACCAAGAAGAAAGGAGUGAAGCGGCCACCACGCCUGCACACCAAGCCGUCCCAGGCACCCGCCGUGGAGGCCGAGGCUGACAAGCCCCGAAGGCUGGGGCGGCUCAAGUACCAGGCACCUGACAUCGACGUGCAGCUGAGCUCGGAGCUGGCAGACUCGCUCAGGACCCUGAAGCCCGAGGGCGACAUCCUUCGAGGCCGGUUCAAGAGCUUCCAGAGGAGGAAUAUGAUCCAGCCUCGACAGAGAGCCAAGUUCAAACCCAGGUACAAGGUGAAGCUGGGGGAGAAGCGGGCGUUCCGCGAGAUCCAGUUGUAGCUCCCAUCAGAGGCCGGAGCCUCGCCUUUCAAUAAAAAGUCCCUUCUAGCUAAAAAAAAAAAAAAAAAAA